AAACACUCAAUAAUUCUCUUGAUUAAAUGAUUAAAUUCAGAAAUCAUUCAGCCAAAUACACACAACAGCACAAACAAGUUCGCAUGCCCAACAUCAACUAAACUUAGCACAUACAAGCAAAAACAAAUACACAAGCACAUACAAGUGUGCUUACAAGCAAAAACAGAUACACAAGCACCAAAACAUGGUGCAACAUCAACUAAAAUUGUGGUGCGCAUCUCCAUGCCUCUUCUGAUCUUCCGUCAUAGCAGCAGCAGCCUAAACAACAUUAGAUCCUGAUCCAUAUCACCAAAAAGAAACAUUAUUAAAUAAAAUGAUUAGGAACAAAAUAAAAGAAAAUCUAACAGCAUAUUUACUCUACAAGGAACCACAACAUAUUUCUGCAGAAAAAGAACAUGUAUGCAAAGCAACCACCAAACAAAUAACGAGCUGGUUCAUCUUAUACCGAAAUAAAAAAGAACUCCGACAAGGAAUAGAAGCAUUCCUUGGUUUUCAAGCACACCAAUUCAUAAACAUGAUUUGGAUACGGAGAAGAAAAACAUAGCAACAAGAGAUAAUCAUAGUAAGUCAGCCAUCCUACUAUUCAAUAAAUGGUUCAGAUUUCACCGUAACAAAACAGUUAACAACCUCAACACUUGUAAUUUUGCUUGCUGCAAUCUAAACAACAUCACCACAAGUUCUAUGAUGCAUCCAAACUAGUGAACUUUAUGCAUAGAUUGGAUCGAAUCAAAGAGAGAAGGGGAAGGGAAGGGCUACCUUGAGGAUCGAAUCGAAUCAGCCUGCUUCUUCCUGCCAUCUUCUUGUGAAUAGCCUUCUUCUUCCUGCCAUCAGUGGAAAGCUUUUUAAGUACAACAGGAGAAACAUUUCAUACAGCGGAAAGGGGGGCUUGAUCAACAUCCACUAACUACACAAAAGAAAACACCUAUCCAGGCAAUAAUUUCCCCCUAAUUUAUGGGUAUAUGGGUAUCAAAACAAACAAGAAAGGAACGACAAUCUAUUUUAAGUACUUCAGGUUUGAGCCAUUUUCGAUACUAAAAUCAAUACAUAACAACCAUUAUUAUGUGUGUACAACCAGUCAAUAACUACUACAGCUAGUCAACAUUAUGUGUGGACAACCAGCCAACAUUAUGUGUGUACAACCAGUCAGUGCUGCACAUGCGCCCAUGUGAAUGUGAUGUGAUCUGCCGAAACAACUACAACCAGUCAAUGCUGGUAGCAGAGAACAAGAUCCAUGGACAACAACAAGGUAUGUGUGUACUGUGAUAAUAAUUAUGUAACACUGGAGUAAGACAGUGUACAAUCUGUCAUCAUCAAGCUCAAGGAAUCAUUCUAGCUAGUACCAAAUCGACAACAACAACAUGAGAGGAGAAGAAGCUCCCUAGUAUGGAACAGACCAAGAUCAAGAGCAUAUCACAAAAUUAUGAACUGAAAUCAAACACAAGUGACUCCGAAUUACUCAUUAAGAUUGUACAUGAUAAUGAGAUGCUGACACGAGAUGACAGACAGUACCAGUAGAAUGCAACAGGACGUUGCUUGCAUACUGCCAUUGUGCCAGAGGUCUUCUAGGCAUAUGUUGUUCACCUGAUCACCACCUCCCUGCAUGCCACACACACACUGCAAGUUAGAUUACAUAUAGAUAGAUUGUGUUUCUAAUGCAUGUAUACCACUAAACAGAAACUGUGGUGUUCUAGGAUGAUGCAGAGUCCAUCUAACUAAUCAAUAUCAUAUAUGAUGCAGAGUCCUCCGGGUGAUGGAAUACCUUUCAAAGUGAGGCAUCCUUAGAAUACUAGGUUGUUCUGAUCCUAUAUAAAAUAGCAUAAAAACUAAGGUAAUUAUCCUAAUCGAGGCAGCAGGCAAAAGGACAUGUGAGCAGGGCAUGUAUGCACAUUUUGAAAAGAAUGAACAGAGCCAACUAAAAUCUGUGAGCAUUAAAACUUGUGGGAAAUUUGGUCAAUCACAUGAACAGGGCCUUUAUGCACAUUUUUCUCUACCAGUACUCCAGUACCAGUAGAAAGACAACAGAUCGGCAGUAUCAUUUAAAAAACUUUGUUGUAAGGUUGUUGUUAGCUUUCUGCUCUGAUUCAAGUUAACUUGGCACCUGUAAGAUUUUUAACACGUUGUGGCUUCACACUUACUUGGGAGUAACCCAUAAGGUCUGAAAGAUUCAGAGUUAACAACCAACUCUGAUUAAAAUUCAGAAUUCAGAUUAGAAAAUUUACAUCAUGAUUUCUGUUUACAUGCAAGCAUGAUUCGUUCAAUUUUUUGAAGUAUAAGCGAAGAUCCAUCAUGUCUUAAGCAAGAGGAAGCAUGUCUUAAGCAAGAAGAAACAAAACAGAACAGAAGAGAU
rnacentral:lncRNA from 1 species